CUGAGAAUGCUACAAGUAGAGGGGGAAAAAAACCGUCAACCCUUUUUAUUUAGUUAUUUUUGCUGUCAUUAAUUCUGUUUGGCAACAGGUUUGGAAUCACAUUUUUUUUUAAUUUUUUUUUUGGUCUGUUUGGAUACACAUUGUCCUUCUCUUUUAAUAGUAUAGACUAGAGUCGGAUCCGCGCUACAGCGCGAAGGAAAAGUUUUGAGUUAUUUUUUUGAGAAAUUGAUAUCAAUAACCUUUUUAUGAUACCCUCUUUUAAAAAUACCUCUUUUUUGCCAUUUUCAUUUUUGCCCUCAUUUAAAUUGUAAUGACCAUUUUAGCCCUAGUUGAAAAAAUAUUCCUUCCCAAAAGGAAAGGAAUAUUCCUUCCAAAAAUUUUCCGCCCAAAGAUUUCAUGCCAAAAAAGUUUCUGAGAAAAAUUUUCCCGCCAAAAAAAUUUCCGCAAAUCUUUUCACGCAAAAAAAAAUAUUUUUACAAAAUAUUCCCGCCAAAUUUUUUAAAGGGUUUACAAGAUUUUUUAAAGGGUUUACAAGGGUUUUAAUGGGAUUUACAAGAGUUUUUAAAUGGUUUUUAAAAGAUUUGUAAUGGAUAAUUUUUAGUUAUUUUUACUAUUAAAAUAUGGUUUUUAAAAGAUUUCUAGUCUAUACUAUUAAAUAUAGAUAAUUUUUAGUUUUUAUUUAGUUAUUUUUCCUGUCAUUAAUUCUGUUUGGCAACAGGUUUGGAAUCAUAUUUUUUUUUUAAUUUUUUUUUGGUCUGUUUGGAUACACAUUGUCCUUCUCUUUUAAUAGUGUAGACUAGAGUCGGAUCCGCGCUAUAGCGCGAAGGAAAAGUUUUGACUUAUUUUUUUGAGAAAUGAAUAUCAAUAACCUUUUUAUGAUAUCCUCUUUUAAAAAUAAUCUCUUUUUGCCAUUUUCAUUAUUGCCCUCCUUUAAAUUGUAAUGACCAUUUUAGCCCUAGUUGAAAAAAUAUUCCUUCCCUUUGGGAAGGAAUAUUCCUUUCAAAAAUUUUCCCCCCAAAGAUUUCCUGCCAAAAAAGUUUCCGAGAAAAAUUUUCCCGCAAAAAUUUCCGCAAAUAUUUUCCCGCAAAAAAAAAUAUUUUUACAAAAUUUUCCCGCAUAAUUUUUUAAAGGGUUUACAAGAUUUUUUAAAGGGUUUACAAGGGUUUUAAUGGGAUUUAAAAGAGUUUUUAAAUGGUUUUUAAAAGAUUUGUAAUGGAUAAUUUUUAGUUAUUUUUACUAUUAAAUAUGGUUUUUAAAAUAUUUCUAGUCUAUACUAUUAAAUAUAGAUAAUUUUUAGUUUUUAUUUAGUUAUUUUUGCUGUCAUUAAUUCUGUUUGGCAACAGGUUUGGAAUCACAUUUUUUUUUAAUUUUUUUUUUGGUCUAUUUGGAUACACAUUGUCCUUCUCUUUUAAUAGUAUAGACUAGAGACGGAUCCGCGCUACAACGCGAAGGAAAAGUUUUGACUUAUUUUUUUGAGAAAUUGAUAUCAAUAACCUUUUUAUGAUACCCUCUUUUAAAAAU
rnacentral:lncRNA from 1 species